CAGGAAAUAGUUUAUUUAAAAUAUUAAUUUUGGAGAUUGAUGAAGACUUAUAAUGUUUUUCCUGA
rnacentral:tRNA from 1 species